rnacentral:rRNA from 1 species
AGUGAACGCUGGCGGUAGGCCUAACACAUGCAAGUCGAACGGCAGCACAGUAAGAGCUUGCUCUUACGGGUGGCGAGUGGCGGACGGGUGAGGAAUACAUCGGAAUCUACUUUUUCGUGGGUGAUAACGUAGGGAAACUUAUGCUAAUACCGCAUACGACCUACGGCUGAACGCAGGGGAUCUUCGGACCUUGCGCGAUUGCAUGAGCCGAUGUCGGAUUAGCUAGUUGGCGGGGUAAAGGCCCACCAAGGCGACGAUCCGUAGCUGGUCUGAGAGGAUGAACAGCCACACUGGAACUGGGACACGGUCCAGACUCCUACGGGAGGCAGCAGUGGGGAAUAUUGGACAAUGGGCGGAAGCCUGACCCAGCAGUACCGCGUGGGUGAAGAAGGCCUUCUGAUUGUAAAGCCCUUUUAUUGGGAAAGAAAAGCAGCAGGUUAAUACCUCGCUGUUCUGACGGUACCCUAAGAAUAAGCACCGGCUAGCUUCGUG